rnacentral:lncRNA from 13 species
AUGCCGCCCUUGGUUUGCCCAUAUUCAGUUAUUAACUGUGCCUUCAUGGGUUUGUCCAUCACGUUCUCUGCAAAAAUGCCCUAUCCUACCUUUUCUGCUGGACAGAUCCAUGUCAAAGUUCUGGUCUAUGACUCCUUCCUUUGCAGUUCCUUGGGAGCAUCGGGUGCUCUCUUCUUAGACCCACUCGCUGUGGGCAGGAGCAUCCAGCAUUAUUCACCUUUACCUUCACCUCUGCACUCAGCACCGCAGCUGGCUCAGAGGAGACUCACCAUCAACCCCUGUGGAAUAAGUCCUCCAUUUUCAGAGAAAUCAUGGUGUGCCUUCAUCUACUCGGGCAGCCCUAAACUUCCACGCAGUACCCCACAAAAGCGUAAACCCAUGAGAAUUCAGAGAAUGGGAGUGAGGACCUCAGUGGACAAAAUAACAGCAAAUCUGGGGAUGAUUAAAAGUGGCUGCCAUAGUGGUAACUGAAUUAGCAGAGUGGAGAACAGGAAGCCUUGAAAGGCCCAAGGAUGGCACUGAUGGUGAGGACUGAGCAGAUUCUCCCCAGAGAGCUCCAAGAGCUGGGAACUUGGAAGCAGCAGCUUCUGCAGGAAGUGAGUUGGAAGCAUAGGCUAAACCAUAGGGAAACAGUUGAAAGAAAUAUAUGAAGAAAUUACAACUCCAUAUCCCCUGCCAAUCCCAUAUAGUCAGGCAACUAUGUCCUUGCACUUGACUGGAGGUUUUUUUCUCUAGAGAAAUAGAACCAGAGCACCCUCAGGUUCAGGGAUCCCAGCAACAGUAGGGCAGUGUCUGGCUGCCCUAAUGGAGGAUUAGGUUUAAGUCUUCCUGUUCAUAGUGGAGCCCACUGCCAGGCUUCCUCCCUUACCCCAUUCCCAGAAAAUGACUGUCAGGUAUAUGUCCCCUGGCUAGAAGAUUGGAGGAUUCUUCACUGAAAAAAGAUGUAUCAGCUCCAGAGAAAAGUCCCCUGAAGAUGGACUUUUUGUGUGUGAGUACACAUUGGGUUUUAUUGUAACAAAGCAACUUGUGCACUGUUAAAUUUAAAACUGAGCAUCAUCUUUCUUUUCUGGUGAAACACAAAGAAAAUUUUAAAAUAAACAGGAACAAAAUUACA